GACGUAGGUGGCGAACGUUUAUCCGGAAUUAUUGGGCGUAAAGGGUGCGUAGGCGGCAUGAUAAGUUAUUGGCGGCAAAUCGAGGCUCAACCUCGUGGAAACUAAUAAUACUGUCUUGCUUGAGUGCAGAAGAGGUUAACGGAACUCCAUGUGGAGCGGUAAAAUGUGUAGAUAUAUGGAAGAACAUCAAUAACGGCGAAGGCAGUUAACUAUUCUGUUACUGACGUUGAGGCACGAAAGCGUGGGGAGCAAAAAGG
rnacentral:rRNA from 1 species